UUUGCCCUAGUAACGGCGAGUGAAGCGGCAACAGCUCAAAUUUGAAAGCUGGCUCCGGCCCGCAUUGUAAUUUGCAGAGGAUGCUUCUGGCAAGGUGCCUUCCGAGUUCCCUGGAACGGGACGCCAUAGAGGGUGAGAGCCCCGUAUGGAUGGACACCAAGCCUGUGUGAAGCUCCUUCAACGAGUCGAGUAGUUUGGGAAUGCUGCUCAAAAUGGGAGGUAAAUCUCUUCUAAAGCUAAAUACCGGCCAGAGACCGAUAGCGCACAAGUAGAGUGAUCGAAAGAUGAAAAGCACCUUGAAAAGGGGGUUAAACAGUACGUGAAAUUGUUGAAAGGGAAGCGCUUGUGACCAGACUUGCGCCGGGCGGUUCAUCAGGGGUUCUCCCCUGUGCACUCCGCCCGGCUCAGGCCAGCAUCGGUUCUCGUGGGGGGAUAAGAACAGUAGGAAUGUGGCCCCCUCUCGGGGGGGUGUUAUAGCCUAUUGUACGAUACCCUCGUGGGGACCGAGGUUCGCGCUCCGCAAGGAUGCUGGCGUAAUGGUCAUCAGCGACCCGUCUUGAAACACGGACCAAGGAGUCGUCCAUUAGAGCGAGCGUUUGGGUGUAAAACCCCCACGCGUAAUGAAAGUGAACGCAGGUGAGAGCUUCGGCGCAUCAUCGACCGAUCCUGAUGUCUUCGGAUGGAUUUGAGUAAGAGUUUUAACGGACGGACCCGAAAGACAGUGAACUAUGCUUGUAUAGGGUGAAGCCAGAGGAAACUCUGGUGGAGGCUCGCAGCGGUUCUGACGUGCAAAUCGAUCGUCAAAUAUGAGCAUGGGGGCGAAAGACUAAUCGAACUGUCUAGUAGCUGGUUACCGCCGAA
rnacentral:rRNA from 1 species